rnacentral:rRNA from 1 species
GUCCAUGCUCGCGGCCUAUCAGCUUGUUGGUGGGGUAAUGGCCUACAAAGGCUUCGACGGGUAGCCGGCCUGAGAGGGUGACCGGUCACACUGGGACUGAGACACGGCCCAGACUCCUACGGGAGGCAGCAGUGGGGAAUAUUGGACAAUGGGCGGAAGCCUGAUCCAGCAACGCCGCGUGAGGGAUGACGGCCUUCGGGUUGUAAACCUCUUUCAGUACCGACGAAGCGAAAGUGACGGUAGGUACAGAAGAAGCACCGGCCAACUACGUGCCAGCAGCCGCGGUAAUACGUAGGGUGCGAGCGUUGUCCGGAAUUAUUGGGCGUAAAGGGCUCGUAGGCGGUUUGUCGCGUCGGGAGUGAAAACACCGUGCUUAACACGGUGCUUGCUUUCGAUACGGGCAGACUAGAGGCAUGCAGGGGAGAACGGAAUUCCUGGUGUAGCGGUGAAAUGCGCAGAUAUCAGGAGGAACACCGGUGGCGAAGGCGGUUCUCUGGGCAUGUCCUGACGCUGAGGAGCGAAAGUGUGGGGAGCGAACAGGAUUAGAUACCCUGGUAGUCCACACCGUAAACGUUGGGCGCUAGGUGUGGGAUCCAUUCCACGGGUUCCGUGCCGCAGCUAACGCAUUAAGCGCCCCGCCUGGGGAGUACGG